UAGUUUUUUUUGACUGCACUAAUAGUUCAUAAACACCACACAGGAAGUAGGAAAAGAACUACAUUUCCCAUCUGCCCUGGCUGUCACAGGCUAAUCGCACCAGCUGCUUUCCAUUGCCUUAAGGAAUGAUUCUACUGCGGCAACGAGACCAAAUACAACGAAAGUAUUGAUGCUGCAAAAGAAGAUGGAUCUUUUGCUAGGCUGGUUAAUGAUGACCACAAGCACCCAAAUGGCAGAAUGCAGAAGACUGAAGUGGAUGGAAGCCCACAUCUUGGUCUGUUUGCUUUAACAGACUUUAAAGAAGGUGAUGAAUUACCUACAAUUACGGAGGAGGAGACUGGCCUUGGUGCAGCAAGGUAAAACAUCUACUCUGAAAAAGAGGAAGGCUCAGGAAGGAAAUGAGGUCCAUGCAGUGGAGAGACAUAUGAAGACCUUCAUCAUGUCAUGUCGUGUCCCAGGGAAGUUGGUCUGUGAAAACUGCAUUAGAUCUGAGUCUUUAUAUCUUAAAGACAGAGACUGGCAAAGUGUCAAAUUCUAUGUCUAUAACUGCACUGUAGCUUACAAAAGAGAUAUAAACAAAGAUUAAAUAACACUUUGAUAGGAACACUUUACAUCUAUAUUACAGAUACUGUACAUCAUAACAUCUGUAGUAAUGCUUUAAUAAUAAGUUACAUUACACCUCUAGCCUUUUACUUUGUAAUGAAACACUCAGCAUUUACUUCAUCAUAAACUAAUCAGGAACAAAUCAGGCAUUUAAAAUAUCCAUUAGAAUCUUUACCUACACCGUUAUAUUGAAUUAGAUCAAAUUGGUUUGGGCCGCCUUCUUCCAGUGGGUCCUUAUGCAGGUGACUGACAAGUUCAUGAGUAAGCCUAUUGGGCAAUAAACGCUUCAGUGUGCUGCUCAUUUACAUGUUUAGACUGUCUGGAAUCAAAAUUAGCUACCUCAACAUACAUUAAUCAGUUGUUACUGUCACUUUUUAGCUUAGUCAGUUAAGUGGAUAUAGAAUAAAGAAAAAAUUGUGUUUGGUUGUGUGUCUGUGUUUGGCUAGUAUCUUUAUUUUUCUCAAUAUGUUUAACUUUGAGCUGGCUAUAUGUAGUAAGCACAAGUGUUAUGUCAAACUUAAAUGAGUCCAAGUUCAUUCAUGGCACAUGUGAGCUUAGUAGUUGUGCACUUUAAUGGGCAAAUAUUUGUUGUCUUUUACAGUAAAGAAGCUCAAGACUCAAGUUGUCUUUAUAAUGUUGAAUAGACAGGGUUUUUUCAUCUGACUGACAAUUUUUCACUUGAUUAGAGAUCCAGACCAAUAAACAAAUACUUUGUGUAGCUAAAAUAUCAAAAGGAUGAGUGUCUUUGUCAUUUUGACUUGCCAAAAUGACUGGGGAUAGUGUUAAUUUGUGAUGCAUGUCUGUGAUAAAUAAGUGAGGUUCAGUACAGCAAGCACCUCUACUUUUUGUUCCACAAAAAAAAGUAUACUUUAAAAUGAAACGCUUCUUAGAAUUAUAGCCUCAAAACUAAUAAUAGCACUGGUACCACCUUCCUUAACAGGUUCCUAGGUUUCUCAAAGGGUUCCUCUGUUGGAAAUAGAAAGCUCCAAAGAAAUGUAGUCUCUUAUCUGUUACUUGCAGAUAUUGAAAUUUGUGUAAGAGAGCUUUUUGAUAACCAAACUUUCACUGAUUGCAUUUUUCACAAAUAAGGCUAAGAGUCCUUUGUAUAAACAAUUAAGAACAACUGUUCAAUUUAAUUUCAUGAGAAGCUUAAACCUUCAAAUAGAGAAAAUACACAUCAUAUCUGCUUUACAGACAGCCCUCUAAAUUAGACAUACUUAGUUUGUAAUUUUGUAUAAAUUAUUAUAAAGUUAAAUUGACAACUUUGUUUUAUUAAACCAUGUCCCCUUGUUGUUAUAUAAACUACCUGAUCUGUGUGUAUGCAGAUUAACUAUCUAGUGAUGUCCCCUCUACAACAUGAAAACCAGCUAAUUUGCUGUGUAUGCAAAUUAGGUCCCCAUUAAUGAUGAGUUCUUGUUAUGUCCACAUUAGGUGUGAAAAAACCAAGCACAGAAAUUUUGUGAUUUAAAUCCAGAAUUUGAGAUGAUAUGUGUUCUCAGGCUUAAAUUAUACAUGCCUGAUUUUUUUCACAUCUGUAGGACCUCAGGAAAGUGGUGUCCCCACAAUACAUGGGUGGGACUACUGACCCCGGAAUGUUAUAAUUACAAGAGUGUGUGUGUGUGUGUGUGAGAGAGAGAGAGAGAGAGAGAGAGAGAGAGAGAGAGAGAGAGAGAGUGAGAGUGUGUGUGUGUGUGUGACUGUGUGUGUGUGUGUGUGUGUGUGUGUGUGUGUGUGUGUGUGUGUUAAAGGUACAGGAGCAGUCUGGCUGUGCAGCUACAGUAAAUGUUAAUAAUAAUAAUAGGACGUUAUUUAAAAGCUCAUACAGCUGAUGUUAUUUUUAUUUAGUAGUUAAUUUAACAUGCUAUGCUAACAUGUAAACAAUAAGAUAUUCCUGACGUACAUUUUACACUCAAUAUUGUCUGUUUCGGUUGUAUUUCACCAACAAAAAUAUUUCCAAACAAAGCCACAGCAGGUCCUGCUCCUUUUUCCUCCUAAUUCCCUCAUUUCUCCACGUUGGGAUUAAUAAAGUAUUAUCUUAUCUCAUCUUUUGUUCAAAUGGGAGAUUUCUUAUUUAUUUUAUUUAUUUUGUUUAUUUUUAAAUAGGAGACUUUUUAAUACUUUUAUUAAAAAUGGCUUCAUGUUUCAAUUAUAAUGAAGCAUUUGUUCAAACAAAAAUGUUUUCAGUCCGUUAUGGAUCAUUGUAACUGAUGAUGUUCUUAUUAUUAUUAAUAAUAAUAAUAAUAAUAAUAAUAAUAAUAAUAAUAAUAAUAAUGCUGAUGUGGUGUCCUGUCCUCUGACUUCUGUGUGUGAGACAAACGCACUCACAUUUCUGUUACAUGGGAAACUUUAGGUGUAUUAUGGCUCUGUGUGUGUGUGUGUGUGUGUGUGUGUGUGUGUGUGAUCAGUGUUCUGAUAUAUCAUCAUUUCUCCCCCAGGUUGAGUUGGUGUUUUCCGACAGCGGAAAGCUGUAGAGUUCUGUCCUCAGUUCUCAGAUCAAACUCCUCCAGACUGAGAGAACUGAACCUGAGUGUCAAUAACCUGCAGGAUUCAGGAGUGAAGCUGCUCUCUGCUGGACUGGAGAAUCCACACUGUACACUGGAGACACUGAGGGUGGUUCCUACUAGGUCUGCUAAUGGGACCGCCCUCCUGACUGGCUGCCUAUAAAGUCACCCGCUCUAGCGGUGCUGAGCAGCGAGAUGUCACAGAGAAGAGUGUGUCCAGUUUGUCGGCGUUUCUACACCAACGUGCAGGCUCAUCUCGCCCAGAUUCAUCAGCAGGGUCCAGAGGAACGCUGGCUUCACCUGGCGGCAGCGAGCGAGCGGGUGAUAUGCGGGUGCUCUGGACUGCCCGGUGUCUGCAUGUGGCAAGAAAGGUUUCCGCCGGCUAGACUGCCACCUGUUCCACCUUCACCAGCUCGCCGGGGACACGGUCAGGAAGCUACUGCUCAGCGCCAAAAUAAAGCUGCAACAACUGCAAGCUUUCGGUGAGACGAACAAAUCUAAAAGUUGCAAAUGUUCUGAACUGAUCGAAAAGUAGCAAAACUCUCCGCAGAAUUUGAGCGGCUGCAAGCGCUAGUAGCCCGGAAAGAGUAGUGGCUCUGUGGAGCCAAUGUUAAGUGUACACGGCUUGGCUGACAAGUCUCAGAGAUGUCCCCAAAGCCGCGGCCAACGGCAAGCAGGAGAGGAGACACGUCGAGCGCUUCCUUCACUUUAUGUGGGCCAACACAGACAGUCCCCUGGCAGCUGCUGGCUCAUUACCCAAAAACACUUAAAAUUUAACAUAGAAGCCAAUACUCACAUCAACCUCUGAACCCAGUUGGAGAUAGAAAAAAAGACACCAGCCGUGAGUGAGAAGAAGCAAGGGUCCAGAUUUAUUGUUCCGUUCCACCACACGAGAUCCACACCGAUGAGAAUUCUCAGAAGUGAUCUGAUACCCUGAGCUUAAGCUCCAGUAUUUAUACUGUAAUUACACAGUAAAUAACCCAUAUGUUUCAAGAAGACUAUGAUAUCAAUACCAAUAGGGUUAAAAAAGAGCUAUUCAACUUACCAUUAGCUCAAAAAACAGGGCUUUUCAACUUACAAAUAUAAUCAAAACCAAGGGUUUUCAAAUAACCAUUAGCUUCAAAAGUGGAGAGAUAAAACAAUCUAGAGUGACCUUGGUCUUACUAUUAUCUCGCUGGGGGGGGGGGGGGGGGCAGCUUGACUCAGCUACCCUUAUAAAUGGCUCCUCAUGGUUUUCUCUUAAAAUUAAGGCCUUCCUUGCGAGACAAGAAUCUUCACCAUCUGAAUUAUGAGUGCCCAUCGUCAUUCCUUCUUCUCCCCUUUACUGGAUCUGGACACUCAUUAUCAGCUUGCGCAUCUAACUGCUGAUAUCAUGGUGCUACUUAACUAUCUUCGCAGCACCCCCUCUGGAAAUGGAAAUGCGGGGUCCCCC